AGAGGAAGGAGAAGUCGUAACAAGGUUUCCGUAGGUGAACCUGCGGAAGGAUCAUUGUCGAAAUCGAACGGAAGAACGACCCGCGAAUCGUCAUUGCGUACUAGACAGAGCCCGUGGGCACCUAACGCUCAUGGGGCUCGCGUCGCGUCGGCGCGGGUGUCCUCGAGACCCGCGUCGUACCGGCGGACAAACAAUGUCAGCACGGAUCGUGCCAAGGAGCUUUAUUGAGAGAAUCGUCGUCCCACGCCUUCGGUAGUCCUCGAUGCGGGACGGGGGGCGGGGGACGUACGCAGUCUCUACCCAAAGUCUAAACGACUCUCGGCAACGGAUAUCUCGGCUCUUGCAUCGAUGAAGAACGUAGCGAAAUGCGAUACUUGGUGUGAAUUGCAGAAUCCCGCGAACCAUCAAUUCUUUGAACGCAAGUUGCGCCCGAAGCCAUACGGCCGAGGGCACGCCUGCCUGGGUGUCGUGAAUCCCCUUGCCCCUAGGCACCCGCAUGAGCAUUGGCGGGUAUUAUGCUCGGGCGCAGAAUAUGGUCUCCCGUGGGAUCGGCAUGCCCGGCAUGUCGAGGCGCGGUUGGCCGAAAAUCGAGCAUGGCGGUGUCGGGCACCACGGCGUUCGGUGGAUCGAAUGAGAUUGGCUGCGUCGCGGGCUCGGCAUGCGGCGGGCUCCGGACUUUGAAUAUCCCCGAGUGCGAACCGCAGGUCAGGCGGGGCUACCCGCUGAGUUUAAGCAUAUCAAUA
rnacentral:rRNA from 1 species